ACAGACCCUCAUUCUCCGGCACUUGUGGUGAAACGGCGGAUUCAGUGGCCUGUGAAUUGUCCAACGACGACUACUACGAAGGCGAGGCAGGACAACUCUCUGGAUUGGAAACAAGUGAGCUUUCCCCUCCGGAUCACAACAGCAGCACUUUCUCGUCUCCUUUUCAACCAUCCAAACGCAAAAGAAAGCGGGCACGGGAUGACAGCUUCCUUGACACCAUCAU